rnacentral:rRNA from 1 species
GUGAACGCUGGCGGUAGGCCUAACACAUGCCAGUCGAACGGCAGCACCGUAAGAGCUUGCUCUUACGGGUGGCGAGUGGCGGACGGGUGAGGAAUACAUCGGAAUCUACUUUUUCGUGGGGGAUAACGUAGGGAAACUUACGCUAAUACCGCAUACGACCUACGGGUGAAAGCAGGGGAUCUUCGGACCUUGCGCGAUUGAAUGAGCCGAUGUCGGAUUAGCUAGUUGGCGGGGUAAAGGCCCACCAAGGCGACGAUCCGUAGCUGGACUGAGAGGAUGAUCAGCCACACUGGAACUGAGACACUGUCCAGACUCGUACGGGAGGCAGCAGUGGGGAAUAUUGGACAAUGGGCGCAAGCCUGAUCCAGCCAUACCGCGUGGGUGAAGAAGGCCUUCGGGUUGUAAAGCCCUUUUGUUGGGAAAGAAAAGCAGCAGGUUAAUACCCCGCUGUUCUGACGGUACCCAAAGAAUAAGCACCGGCUAACUUCGU